rnacentral:rRNA from 1 species
AGGACGAACGCUGGCGGCGCGCCUAACACAUGCAAGUCGAGCGUGAAGCGGGACUUCGGUCCCGUGGAAAGCGGCGAACGGGUGCGUAACACGUGAGCAACCUGCCCCGAAGACCGGGAUAACCCGAGGAAACUCGAGCUAAUACCGGAUGUCCUUACCGAGUCGCAUGGCUUGGUAAGGAAAUGGAUUCCGCUUCGGGAUGGGCUCGCGGUCUAUCAGCUUGUUGGUGGGGUAACGGCCUACCAAGGCGACGACGGAUAGCUGGUCUGAGAGGACGAUCAGCCACACUGGGACUGAGACACGGCCCAGACUCCUACGGGAGGCAGCAGUGGGGAAUCUUGCGCAAUGGGGGAAACCCUGACGCAGCGACGCCGCGUGCGGGAUGAAGGCCUCGGGUUGUAACCGCUUUCAGCGGGACGAAAUUGACGGUACCGCAGAAGAGGACCGGCCAACUACGUGCCAGCAGCCGC